rnacentral:tRNA from 1 species
GAUGGCGCAGUGGUAGCGCAGCUGACUGUUAAUCAGCGUGUCGCAGGUUCGAAUCCUGCUC